ACACAAUUUUGAAUUUGUCGCUUAAAAAAUUAGCGAGUAAAAAUUACGAUCAUUGAUCGCAGCAAUUAGUCGUUGGUUCAACAAUUGGUAAACGAACAACAUUUUGAUCGCUAUCGCUAGUCGCUGCUGCCAGCGACUGCCAAACGAACAUGGGAUAAACUUGUAUUAAUGAUCACCAAUACACGUAGUUGGGUUAUCGUUUACCACUGAUAGACAUGGUUGGUUUAUCAUUAACCAUGGGCUUAACCAAUUUGGUACACAAGAAUCUACUGAGAGUGCACAUUCCUCAAAACAAUGGGCCUUUUUUGCUUAAAGCAAUGUGUUACCAUAUUGUGGAAAACGAUAAAUCAACUGUCUACUAUCGGUGGGAUUGUUUUUGCACUGAACUAGUGAAUGUUGCGUGUUUCAUCUUAUAGUCCACAUCCUAGCCCACCACAAA
rnacentral:lncRNA from 1 species